rnacentral:rRNA from 1 species
CUUAAUAAAAUAUGCAUGUACUAUAUACAUAAGCGGACACAGUCUAAGCUGAAAGUGAAUUCAGCAAAGAGGUCACGGCAAAUGCAACAAUACAAUGAACAUAUACUAAUUUUUAGUGAAACGCAAUUAAGCAGACAGAUCACUCCACGAACUAAGAACGGCCAUGCACCACCUAUCACACAAUCAUGAAAGGACUAGCAUAUUUAAAAAUGUAAAUGAAGCUAACACAUAAAUAUAACCCGAAAGUAUAUAUAUGAAUUAGUUACUUUACGAAACACCUGUCAAUCCUCAGUGUGUCCGGACCCGGUAAGAUUUCCCGCGUUGGGUCAAAUUAAGCCACAUGCUCCACGCGUUCUUGUGGUGCCCUUCCGUCAAUUCCUUCAAGUUUCACACGUGCGU